UACGUAGGGGGCAAGCGUUGUCCGGAAUCAUUGGGCGUAAAGAGCGUGUAGGCGGCUCGGUAAGUCCGCUGUGAAAGUCCAGGGCUCAACCCUGGAAUGCCGGUGGAAACUGUCGAGCUAGAGUCCGGAAGAGGCGAGUGGAAUUCCUGGUGUAGCGGUGAAAUGCGCAGAUAUCAGGAGGAACACCAAUGGCGAAGGCAGCUCGCUGGGACGGUACUGACGCUGAGACGCGAAAGCGUGGGGAGCGAACAGG
rnacentral:rRNA from 1 species